CCGGUUUCCGGUAGCUGACAGCCGCCGCAGCCUGUCCCUGCCUCCUCCGGCGGUAGUGCCGCCGAGCCGGGCAGAGCGCACGGACGCGGACACAGACACGCACGGGAGGUGGAGGAGGAGGAGGGAAGAGGAGGAGGGACCGGAGCGCUCCCAGCACCAUCACCGAUCCCCCCAUGCGAUACGGGCGGCAUCGCGCUGCGCCGCUCCCCCGCAGACAGGCACCUGCAGGCAAAUGACAAGCAUGAGUCUGGAGGAGCACCAGUGUAAGUGCUGGGACCCUGUCAUCUAAACUGUGUCUCCAGCUGACUUCUAGCCAGCCAAGCUUUACCAAUCCUGCACCAUGGAGGACUGCCUUCACACCUCCUCUGAAAACCUCUCCAAGCUGGUGAGCUGGGCCCACAGCCACGGGACCAUCUGCAGCCUCAUCCCCAACCUCAAGCACCUGCUGUCCGAGGGAGCCCAUGGCAACCUGACCGCCAUGUGGGGCUGCAGUGCUGGCCAUGCCUACCACUGGCCCCUGGCUGCCACUUGCCGGGCUGGCUCCCAGGAACGCGUCUGCUUCCAGGACAGCCGCAGCUUCAACUCAGACAGUCCCAGUAUGUUGGGAGUGCCCUCUGAGACACAGGCCAGCCCGCUUGAGCGUUACCCAGGCCGGCCAGGGAAGGCCAAGCUGGACUGCACCCGCACCCGUGACUCCUGUGAUUUCUCCUACUGCAGUGAGCCCUCAGAGCUGGGCGAGCCGGUGGAGGAGUACGAAGACGAGGCCACUCUCUUCGACAUGGUCUGCGAGUCCUCCGUCACAGAUGAGGACAGUGACUUUGAGCCACACCUCCACCGCGUGCCCGGCGGCCCUCGGAAGCGGCCACCCGCUGGGCUCCCUGCUGCUGCCCAAGCCCAGCCAGCUGACGAGGGCAGUGGCGAGGUUCUGCUUAAGAAGAUCAAGCAGGAGCUGCCCGAGGAUUACUACAUCGUGGCCAAUGCUGAGCUGACGGCUGGUGCCGAUGGGCCGGCCCUGGCCCUCACCCAGAUGUCCAAGCCCAAAGCACCAGUGCAGGCUGGACCCUCUGGCCUGGGCCCCACCAGGGCUCUACCCCUGCCUGCUGGGCCUGAUCCCGACCCGCAACACCUCUGUGCCUCCCCACCCGGCCCACCCCGGCUCCCUGUGCAGAGACCUCCCCGAGCUGCCCUGGUUUCCCCAGCCCGUGGGGCAAGCGGCGGCCCCCCAGCCGCCCUGCAGGCACCAGCCACUAGCUCCAAUGCCGCUGCCGUGGGGAAGGCCAUCAGCAUCCCGCUGUCAGCCCUGCAGCUGCCUGGGCAGGAGGAGGCCCCAGCCGCAGAAGAGACCCUGCUGCCUGCCCCGCAGCCAGCCCCAGGGGGCGGUGAGGCAGCUGUGUCACCUUCGGUGAGCGCAGAGCCUGAGGUCAGCUCCAGCCAGCAGCAGCCCCCUGCUGCCCCUGCUGCCACCCCUGAAGCUGCAGUCCCGUCGAUGCCAGACCAGGAUGAGAGAGCAGCAGAGCUCAGCAGGGAGCAGAACGAGAAGACCAUUCGCAGCACACAGACAGCUCUCCGCAAUUUCCGCGAGUUCCUCAUCUCCAAGUAUCCCUCUGAGACCCGAGAGAUCUACGUCAUCCCCUGCAAAGAGCUCGAUGCGUACCUUGCUUCGUUCUUUGUGGAUGCCAGGCAGAAGGAUGGGUCUGAAUACGAGCCAAACAGCCUGGCCAACUAUCAAUGUGGGCUGGAGCGUUAUCUGAAGGAGCACAGGUAUGGAUACAGUAUUACCAGGGAUAAGGAGUUCAAGAGGUCCCAAGAAGCCCUAAAACAGAAGCAGAUAGAACUGAGGUGUAAAGGUAAAGGGAACAAGCCACACAAGUCCAUGAAGCUCACCUUUGCUGACGAGCUUAUCCUGCGCAAAAGAGGCUUGCUAAGCCGGUACAAUCCUGAAGGGCUCUUGAACCUUGUCUGGCUGAACAACACUAAGGCAUUUGGACACUGCACAGGUUUUCAUGGGUCCACCCUCAAAUGGGGAGACAUCCGGCUGCGGGUGACAGAGACGGGGUUGGAGUACCUGGAGUGGAUGGGACCAGACAGUGGAGAUAUCAAUGCCAAGAGCAAGAGAGGUGGGACAGACUCUCGGGUGUAUGCCACCCAGCACUCCCCACAGACCUGUCCUGUGCAAGACUACAAGGAGUAUGCCCAGAGGCGGCCUCCAGCCAUGCGCUAUGAGGAUGCACCUUUUUACCUGUCAAUCAAACCCGUUGUCAACUUGGCUGCCCUUCACUGGUACAAUUGCCAAGCUCUGGGGAAAAAUAAGCUUGCCAAGAUGGUAAAGACAAUGUGCGAGAAGGGCAACAUCCCUGGCAGGAAGACCAACUUCAGUGUCUACCAGAGCUGUAGCACACUGUCAGAAGCUCAGAGCAACCAGCUUGUGCUGAUCUGCAAUAACUUGAGCCAGCAGGCUGCCCAGUCCAUGGCAAGCCAUACCAAUACUGGCAACUUCAUAGUGUCAGCAUCCUAUGACUCUUCCUCUGACACAGCUUGAAAGAGGGGUAUAACUUGGACAGAUUUUUCUCUUCUGUUUUGUUUUAAGCAUUGAAUUUGUGCCCAAUAAUACACAUCAACUGUGAUUGUACACUACUCUCCCAUAGCCCUCUCUCCAGUGUUAAUUCACUUUAUAAAAAAAUAUAAAUAUAUAAUAUAUUUUUCUUUUUACAGAUAAGUCAAUAGAGAUAGUUUAGUAAUACUAACAUAGUAUUUAUAGUGUUAAUACAAAAAUGAAUGUUACUUGUGGGUUAUAAUAUAAUUGCAGAUUUUAAAAGGACAAAAAUGGUUCUCAGGCAACACAAGAUAGACUGGAAAUACCCUUUUUAACAUGCACACAUCAGUGACUGUAAUUCCCCAGGGAGACUUACGUAGCAAUUCUAUUUUAAAGCAUUUUUUUGACUUCUUAUGUUAACAUGGCCUCCUAGAGUGGAGGAGGCAAAUCUACCACUGGCUGCCGCUUCUUACCUGCUGGCUUGUUCUUGAUCAGAAAUACAAGGAGAUAAGAGAUACAUCAAUUGCUGAAUCUGCACGCUCUGCUGAGGAAGAGUGUGAAAAGAAGGCAGUCCAGCAUAAAGCAUGGCUAUCUUCCUAGCAGGAGAACUGGGACUGCACUUUCUGGGGAUGGUCGCCAUGCACCGAGCCUGCUUUGUAGCCAGGAGCACUGGCACAUCAUCCGGUAUCUCCCACAUGUCUGAUGGCCCUAUGCAGGGUCAGCGUGGGUGUCACAGCACCUCUCUGAAAAAUCAGAGCGCCUGGGCCAGCCAGGUAAGGCAACUGUGCUUCUGCAUGCUGAGCAGGGGAAGGCCGUAAGCACAAUUCGGCGAUGGUGCUGUCCCUGUGUGCAGGAUGGACACAUGCAGCUGGCACAUGGGGCUGUGAUGUAUCUCUGCAUAGGUUUUGGAAAGCUGAGCACCAGCAGGAAUGUGGAGGCUGGUUCUCCAUGAUGCUCUACUGGAUAACGUUAGCUGGCAACGGAGUGAUCCUUCAGAGGAAGACAAGUUCCUCAAAGCCCCAAGAAAUGGUGUGGAUGCAUGGCUGCCAGCUCCACCAGUGAAACCGAGUGCUGGUUCCAUCCUGCCUAUGGGGCUCUGCUGAUGUUGUCCGCCAGCACCUCGACUCUUCCGAAUCCAGUGGAGAGGCACUGACUGCAGCGCAGCGUGGGAAAGCCCCACAGCUUGGAGAUGUCUGUGGGCUCAUUGAAAAGUCUGACAAUGGCCAUUCACUGGAGUAUAUUCAAAGCAAUGGGGAUGUCUAAAGCUUUAACUCCUAACCUGACGGGGAAAAAAAUCAGUUUGGCACAAAAUUUACUUGUUCCAUGAACUGGUGGGUUUUAACAGUCUCUAGAGUUUAUGUCUCAAGUCAGAAAUUUAUUUUCUCUGUUUUCUCACUUUCUUUAAUGUUGGUUGGUAAUAUGAACAAAAUUUGUUUUUGUUUUUGUUUUUUUUAAAAUACAAAUGCCAUUAAAUGUCUGUGCAUUGGAAAUGGACCUACUGUUUCCAGGGGAUUGAGACACUUCUACCUUCUCUUUUAUUCUGGUGCUCAGCACUCAUUACACAGCAGCCACUGGUCUCUGAAAAAAAUUAGUACUCUUUCAGAUUUAUUUGAUCUGUUGUAGUUAAUAGAAGAUUUAUUCAGAGUGUUUGGGAUUUUGUAUGGUAGAUGCUAACUCUGAUGCUAACUUUCACGCUACAUUUGGGAAUUUUGGCUAGCUCUGUUCUGUACAGUCCAUAAGCAUCAUGCAAAUUGUGGAAUUGCCAAGCAAGGGGAAAAGAAUCAAGAAAAUAUAAAAUGUUCUUUAAAAUACUGUAUUAUUCUUACUCUAGAAAAAAUAAACUCUUAACAUUAAUUUUAAUGACGCUAUCUUCACCAUUUCAGCUGUUCUUAUUGUGAACAGAGAAAACUCUGCAAUAUUCCUCAGGCUUAGAAUUUGAUCUGCUUUGUAAAGGCUUGUGAUCCUGCUGAGAUUGUCUUCUGCAUCAUUAUAAUGUGUUCUCAGCUGGCCUGAAUCACACGUAGCCUUAAGUACUGCCACAUUGCUCCUGCCGGUAUUCCUCCUUCCCUUCUGCUGCGUUGAUCCAGGCUGGGCUGCUCUGCACAAGGCUGGGUGUCAAAUGCAGAGCAGAAACACCUGGAGCACUCAAGACUUACAGGCAAAUUGUGACAUAGAAUGUGUUACAAGAGUCUGCAAGCUGGCACGGGGAGAAGGGAGAAGUAGAUGGCAGUGCCCACAAGCCCAAGUGCUGCUGGUGGGCAGAGCUCGGUGUCUGCCCUGCAGAGCUCAGUGAGGAACACACCCCUGGGCUUCAUGUUUCUACCCACCUUGUUGUCACAGAUGGGUCUGAAACCUGCAGGAGAGGACAUCAUCCAGCCACUGCUUUGUUGUCUGGACUUGUCUGUGCCUGCAUGACCCACAUACCUCUGGGUCAUCUUGAGACCUAUUAGGCAGACAAAGCUAUUCAAGAUAUAAAGAAAUGGCAAAAUGUCUGAGUAUAGUGAAGGCAGUGGAAAGGCAGUGGAAAAGCCUGGCAAAUGCAAUAAAAGUUGUUGUGGUUUUUUUUUUUUACUAAAGAAGGCAAGCGUAAUCCUCGUCUUUAAGCUAUCCUUUAAUAUCCCACUUUGUUUUACACUGGAAUUAGAAAAUCUUUUCCAUUUGUUUUAAUUAUCUGCUGACUUUAAUUCUGCCUUUGAAAAAUGUUUUUGCUGUGACAACCCCAGCUAUGGUGAGUAGCGUUAGGGAAAAACAGUUAAAGUAAAGCUUUUAUCUUUCCCUACAUGCAAUAUUUAAUCAUUCUAAUCUUUUAAUAUGAAUGUGGUUUCUCCCAUUCUGAAAAUUGACAAGAUUAGGGCUGCCUCUCCCAAAAUAGCAAGUUCAAAAGCACGUUUUGCUUUGGCAUAGCUAGUGCAAUAUAUAACCAGCUAGCAAAGCAUGAGAAUUCCUGUAAGUGACCAAUUGAUUCUCAGAGUUAAACCUGUGUCUGAGGCUAACUUUCACGUGCCAACUUUUCUAACUCUGCCUGAACUCAACUUUUUUAAGAACAGUUUGUAAAAAAAGUACAUUCUUUUGUUUUAUAUAAAAAGGGUGUUAAAAGAUUCACUGUUCUGCCAAACAAUAAUAUUUCUAUGCACUGUGUCAUUCGGUGGUGUUGCUGUUGAAAUUUUGCAUGUUUUCUGGACGUUCUGACAUCCGUAUGUUUAUGUGGUACUUGUAGAAAUGCUGACCAUUGCUGCUGUGAUCAGAGCCACUGAAAAACUGAGAGCUGUACUGAGAAGCCCUGCCAGUCGGCAGGUAUUUCUGUGUGUCACAGUAAAUCUCUGCGUUCUGACGUUGUUUCCUGUGUUAAGCCAAUGUUCAGUGCCUUCUGGAGAAGGAACCAACAUGCUGCAAUAGGCAGGAGGUGCUGAACGUUUCAUGUCUUCUUCUGAACAGCUGACCACUUAUCAGCUUGAUCCUUAAAGAACAAACAAACAAAAAAGUAUUAAAGAAAAUCUUGAAUUCUCCAUCUUUCUUUGAGGUGUCUUCUCAUCAAUUUUAAUUUGGAAUAAAAAAAUUAAGAUGCCCAACCAACUGCCUUGAUGAAGCUAAAGGCUCCCGCAGCCGUAUGCCAGCUGUGAACGUGAGGGGUAAGACAUUCCUGUGGAGCUGAUCCAGUGAUCAGCCAAGCCUGUGAGAGCUGUUGUGGAGUUUGCUAAAAAUGCCUACUAAUGAAAGCAAUCCUCUGAUUACUGUAAGAAACUGCCAGCUCUCCUAGCAGCUGUGAGCCUGCUCCUGUAGACAAGUGUCAGCCUGGUCAAGUGGUGGAUUCCAGUCGCUUUCCCACCUCCGCUGAAGCCACGCUUUGCUGCCAAAUGAGCCUUGGAUGAAAUUCAAGCCUGAGAUUUUUGGUCUCGUUCUUUCCAAUUGCUUUCAUGGCAGGCGGGCCCUGUUUAUCAAAAUUCUGACACCGCAUUUUCAGCUCCUUUUCCACCUUCCCCUUAGAAUCUGGCAGUAUAGCAGAUACACACAUACCCAGAAUUAAUUUUGACUUAGCUAGGAUUUUGACAGGCUGAAAUCAUACCAUAUUGUAUUUGUACAACAGAAACAAGCUGUGGGUAAAAGUGUGAUCUGUCACAGAUCCCUGCCACCAGGCACAGUCAGCUGCACCUGGUCUGCUCUGAAAGUACCAUCUUAUGUGCAAACAAUGAAGGGCUAUAGCCAUUGUCUCAUGAUCUCUGCUGACAGGUGAAAGUCUGCUAAACAUCCUGAAAAGGUUCUCAAAUCAGAAUACCAGAAAAAAAACAAACAAAAAACCUGUGUGACUGGGACAAUAACAGAGAAUUGAAUUCAUUCCUGCUGCUCUGAAGCCAUCUCUGCACCUCUGUACAAGGCAGUUUAUAGCCCUUAAUGUGCAAUGUGCUUUUCCCAAAAUAGUUUACAUCACAAUCUUCAAAAUUGCCAUUCCUUUUUGUCACACCUGGAACAUUUACAAAAAGCAGUAUUGCAAGGUGCAGGCUGGACCACCCUGGAAGUCUGUCCAUGUAGUAGUCCUCUCCCACAGACCAAUGGAUUCAAGGUGCAGUCUUGCCUCAAAUACUGUGUUCAUUUCUGGGAUCUACAAUAAAGAAAUUGUUAAGGUCCAUGAAACAGUCUGAAAGACAGCAAAAAAAAAAAGCUAGAAGGCAGAAAAAAAGGUAGAAAGUUUGGUAGAAGGCAUGUGAGGCACCGUGUGAGGAGAGGUGGGCAGACCUGGGUUAUCGUGUGUGGAGGUGGCAGAAAAGUGGUCACUGCUCUGCAGCUCCCUGAGGGGAAGCAAAGGGACACGCUGGGCUCAGCUCCCUGGUGGGACAGAAUGCAAAGGAGUGGCACAGAGCUGCACCUGGGGAGGAUGAGACAGGGCAUCGGGAAGCAUUCCUUCACCAUGAGGGCAGUCAAACUGUGGAACAGGCUUCCUAGAGGUGACACAGCUGUCAGUGGCCAAGGGGAGUUUGGGCAGUGUGCUCAGUGACUGCUGUGACUGUUGAUUAGCAAUUGAUGUUGAGUGAAGGCCCCUUCCCACUGAGUUGUUCUAAACGUUCCUAGAACAUUUCUGAAAUCUCAACCUUCCAAAAGGGAUAAGGGUGCUUGAGGCCUUUUGCAGUAUUUCAGUUCCCAUCUCCUGGAUGGAAUAAGGCUGUCCUCAGAAAUAAAGGGCCAUUUUAUUGCUCUAAAAUCCAAUGGCUUCUUCGUAGAAUUAUAGAAUCAUAGAAUCGCUCAGGUUGGAGAAGACCUUAAAGAACGUGAAGUCCAUCUGCAACAUAACCGUACUACCCUAACUCUAGUAACCCUCCUCUAAACCAUAUUCAGCUGCUUUCUGAUGCCAGCUGAGACCAGCUGCAAUGAGUUUCUCUGUUGUUUUUGGUCUCUAGUGGCUAUGUACACAUGAACACAUCUCCGCCAGUGCAGUGAGGAGUUUCUGCUCCACAGAACUCCUGCCUGCAUAGGCCUGGUAUUAGGUAUGCAAGGCAGUGGCAGAGAGUCUUAUUCCUUGCAUUUUUUGUCUUUUUAGCUAGGUGUUAGUCUUCCAGUCCAACUAAUUGCAGAAAUUGACUUAGCAAUUGCAACCUACCGUAGGGAACCUGCUUUGGAGUGAAGGAUCUCCAUAAGUCCCUUCCAACCCCUAUAAUCCUGUGAUUCUGUGAUCCUGUAAUUGGUAAUUGGUCCUUAGAGCUCCUUCCCACACACUGACCCAACCUGCCAAAAGGUGUGUCAGGUUCUUGCAGAACUACAGUUGUAUAUUCCCAUCUUCACUUUGCAGAUGCAUCUACACUGCCUUCAGCUUAGAUUUGAAUCAGAAAAGCAAAGAGCACCGUUUAGUUAGCUCUUUGCAUGCUAGAAAUCCAGUUGUUUUACAGAUGCAGACGUGGUGUUAGGCUUCAGCCUGCUGCCUGCAGUGUGUGAGAAGUUUUCCUGGCGUUUGUUCAUUUUUCACCACAGCUCUCUGGUUUCAAGAAGCAAAUGGGCUGCUGUUAAUGCUGUAGUGGAUUUGAUGCCACUGCCCCAUCAGUGUGAUGCCUUCCGUGUACACGUUGUAAGCUCCUUAAUUGUGUUUUGACCUAAGUGCACUGUGGUGCAGGAAAAGCUUUUUGAUUUUUAUUAUUAUUAUUGUUGAAUAAUAAAAUAAAACCCUAUUGCAUUUCUGUCUGUGCUGCUGAAAGGAGACAAGAGAGAAUUUAUCCAUCCACAUCCCACUGGAAUUUCGAGGCUAACUUAGGUUUCUUUGGACCCCUUUGCAAGCCCCAGUUGUAAUCCACUAUGUUAGGCAGAGACGUUAACAUGAGCAGUGAUACAUUUCUAACACUAAAAAUGCAGUUUUUCUGUGGGACCUUCUCACACUGACAUCUUGCCUCUGCAUUUCGGAAUUUAUAUAUUUGUACAUUUGUUAGGGGGAAGGAAGAUUUUAAUAUAUUUUAAUGCAUUAGGCUUUGCAAAUCCAGGAUGUCUGAGAGAGAGAGAGAGAGAAGGUUUACUGGAUUUUUUUUCUGAAGACAUCAGGAAAAUUGUCAACCCUCAGAGCUACCUGUUCAACUUCAGACCUGGUUCAUUCUGGAUCUGAAAAAGAACAAGAGACCUGGAAAAAAAAAAAAAAAAUGAAGAAUAAGUCUUCACUGGUAAAUGAGGAAAGAUUCCACAGCCUUCUUCAGCGCCAGGUCCCCAGCUGGGUUCCCAGGUCUGCCAACCCUUUUACUUGAUGGCUGGAUAGGUUUUAACUCAUGUGGAUGCCAUGUUGCUCUUUCUGCAGCAGAUUUCUAAGAAGCAAACUUCACAUUGGUUAAGAUCCUUGAGAACAAUAUCAUCAUCUGUGUCUUAUGACACUUUUGUGCCAGCUGUACCUUUUUCCCUCACUGCAAAGUGCUCCACUCCUCUUCACUGGGGAUGGAGCAAAGAGAUGCUUUAUUGCCAUCUGUUGCACCACACUUCAGCCAGGUGCCUCCUUGGCUUCCCUGAAAAAUGCUUCUUCGGGGUGAUUGAGUAUAAAAGUUUAUUAAAUAAGAAGACAGUAAAAUUAAAAAGUCUUUUUUUUUUUUUUUUUUUUUUUU